rnacentral:rRNA from 1 species
GACAGAGGGUGCAAACGUUGUUCGGAAUUACUGGGCGUAAAGCGAGUGUAGGCGGUUUGGUAAGUCGGAUGUGAAAGCCCCGGGCUCAACCCGGGAAGUGCACUCGAUACUGCCAAGCUAGAGUAUCGGAGAGGUUGGUGGAAUUCUCGGUGUAGAGGUGAAAUUCGUAGAUAUCGAGAGGAACACCGGUGGCGAAGGCGGCCAACUGGACGAAUACUGACGC